CCAGACUCCUACGGGAGGCAGCAGUGGGGAAUAUUGGACAAUGGACCAAAAGUCUGAUCCAGCAAUUCUGUGUGCACGAUGAAGGUCUUCGGAUUGUAAAGUGCUUUCAGGUGGGAAGAAGAAAGUGACGGUACCACCAGAAGAAGCGACGGCUAAAUACGUGCCAGCAGCCGCGGUAAUACGUAUGUCGCAAGCGUUAUCCGGAAUUAUUGGGCGUAAAGCGAGUCUAGGCGGCUUGUUAAGUCAGAUGUGAAAAUGCGGGGCUCAACUCCGUAUUGCGUUUGAAACUGGCAGGCUAGAGUACUGGAGAGGUGGGCGGAACUACAAGUGUAGAGGUGAAAUUCGUAGAUAUUUGUAGGAAUGCCGAUAGUGAAGACAGCUCACUGGACAGAUACUGACGCUAAAGCUCGAAAGCGUGGGGAGCGAACAGGAUUAGAUACCCUGGUAGUCCACGCCGUAAACGAUGUCAACUAGCCGUUUGUGUCCUUGAGACGUGAGUGGCGCAGCUAACGCACUAAGUUGACCGCCUGGGGAGUACGGCCGCAAGGUUAAAACUCAAAUGAAUUGACGGGGGCCCGCACAAGCGGUGGAGCAUGUGGUUUAAUUCGAUGCAACGCGAAGAACCUUACCAUCCCUUGACAUCCAGAGAAGCGACUAGAGAUAGACGUGUGCCUUCGGGAACUCUGUGACAGGUGCUGCAUGGCUGUCGUCAGCUCGUGUUGUGAAAUGUUGGGUUAAGUCCCGUAACGAGCGCAACCCCUAUCCCUAUUUGCCAGCGGGUCAUGCCGGGAACUCUAGGGAGACUGCCGGUGACAAACCGGAGGAAGGUGGGGACGACGUCAAGUCAUCAUGGCCCUUACGAGUAGGGCUACACACGUGCUACAAUGGCGCAUACAAAGGGCUGCAAACCAGCGAUGGUAAGCGAAUCCCAUAAAGUGCGUCGUAGUCCGGAUUGGGGUCUGCAACUCGACCCCAUGAAGUCGGAAUCGCUAGUAAUCGUAGAUCAGAAUGCUACGGUGAAUACGUUCCCGGGCCUUGUACACACCGCCCGUCACACCAUGGGAGUGGGAUGCAAAAGAAGUGGCUAGUCUAACCUUCGGGAGGACGGUCACCACUUUGUGUUUCAUGACUGGGGUGAAGUCGUAACAAGGUAACCCUAGGGGAACCUGGGGUUG
rnacentral:rRNA from 1 species